rnacentral:rRNA from 1 species
AACGAACGCUGGCGGCAGGCUUAACACAUGCAAGUCGAGCGCAUCCUUCGGGGUGAGCGGCAGACGGGUGAGUAACGCGUGGGAAUCUACCUUUUGCUACGGAAUAGCUCCGGGAAACUGGAAUUAAUACCGUAUGUGCCCUUAGGGGGAAAGAUUUAUCGGCAAGAGAUGAGCCCGCGUUGGAUUAGCUGGUUGGUGGGGUAAAGGCCUACCAAGGCGACGAUCCAUAGCUGGUCUGAGAGGAUGAUCAGCCACAUUGGGACUGAGACACGGCCCAAACUCCUACGGGAGGCAGCAGUGGGGAAUAUUGGACAAUGGGCGCAAGCCUGAUCCAGCCAUGCCGCGUGAGUGAUGAAGGCCUUAGGGUUGUAAAGCUCUUUCACCGGAGAAGAUAAUGACGGUAUCCGGAGAAGAAGCCCCGGCUAACUUCGUG